AACGCACAUUGCGCCCGCCAGUACUCUGGCGGGCAUGCCUGUUCGAGCGUCAUUUCAACCCUCAAGCCCCAGCGGUUUGGUGUUGGGCGUCGGCCGUCCCCUCGCGGCGGCCGUGCCCCAAAUCUAGUGGCGGUCUCGCUGUUGCCUCCUCUGCGUAGUAAUUACAACCUCGCACCGGAACGACGCGAAGGCCACGCCGUUAAACAACCUAACUUUCUGAAUGUUGACCUCGGAUCAGGUAGGAAUACCCGCUGAACUUAA
rnacentral:misc_RNA from 1 species